rnacentral:rRNA from 1 species
UACGUAGGGGGCAAGCGUUGUCCGGAUUUAUUGGGCGUAAAGAGCGUGUAGGCGGCCUGAAAGGUCAGCUGUGAAAACUCGAGGCUCAACCUCGAGACGUCGGUUGAAACCAUCUGGCUAGAGUCCGGAAGAGGAGUGUGGAAUUCCCGGUGUAGCGGUGAAAUGCGCAGAUAUCAGGAGGAACACCGGUGGCGAAGGCGGUGGAGCUGGGGCAGUUGCUGACACUGGAGGCGCGGACAGCGUGGGGAGCAAACAGG